rnacentral:rRNA from 1 species
CGCGGCCUAUCAGCUUGUUGGUGAGGUAAUGGCUCACCAAGGCGACGACGGGUAGCCGGCCUGAGAGGGCGACCGGCCACACUGGGACUGAGACACGGUCCAGACUCCUACGGGAGGCAGCAGUGGGGGAUAUUGCACAAUGGGCGAAAGCCUGAUGCAGCGACGCCGCGUGAGGGAUGACGGCCUUCGGGUUGUAAACCUCUUUCAGCAGGGAAGAAGCGAAAGUGACGGUACCUGCAGAAGAAGCGCCGGCUAACUACGUGCCAGCAGCCGCGGUAAUACGUAGGGCGCAAGCGUUGUCCGGAAUUAUUGGGCGUAAAGAGCUCGUAGGCGGUCUGUCGCGUCUGCUGUGAAAACUCAGGGCUUAACCCUGAGCUUGCAGUGGGUACGGGCAGACUAGAGUGCGGUAGGGGAGACUGGAAUUCCUGGUGUAGCGGUGAAAUGCGCAGAUAUCAGGAGGAACACCGGUGGCGAAGGCGGGUCUCUGGGCCGUAACUGACGCUGAGGAGCGAAAGCAUGGGGAGCGAACAGGAUUAGAUACCCUGGUAGUCCAUGCCGUAAACGUUGGGCGCUAGGUGUGGGGACCUUUCCAUGGCUUCCGUGCCGCAGCUAACGCAUUAAGCGCCCCGCCUGGGGAGUACGG